rnacentral:rRNA from 1 species
GAUGAACGCUGGCGGCGUGCUUAACACAUGCAAGUCGAACGAUGAGGCCCAGCUUGCUGGGUGGAUUCGAGGCGAACGGGUGAGUAACACGUGUGUAACCCGCCCUUAUCUCUUGGAUAAGCCUUGGAAACUGGGGCUAAUACAGCAGAGGAGAGGCCAUCGCCUGGUGGGGGUUGGUGAGAUUUCUCGCGUUUGGAUGGACACGCGGCCUAUUAGCUUGUUGGUGAGGUAGUGUCUCACCAAGGCGACGACGGGUAGCCGGCCUGAGAGGGUGACCGGCCACAUUGGGACUGAGAUACGGCCCAGACUCCUACGGGAGGCAGCAGUGGGGAAUAUUGCACAAUGGGCGCAAGCCUGAUGCAGCGACGCCGCGUGAGGGAUGACGGCCUUCGGGUUGUAAACCUCUUUCAGUAGCGACGAAGCGAAAGUGACGGUACCUGCAAAAGAAGCACCGGCUAACUACGUG